rnacentral:rRNA from 1 species
CCUACGGGAGGCAGCAGUGGGGAAUUUUGGACAAUGGGCGCAAGCCUGAUCCAGCAAUGCCGCGUGAGUGAAGAAGGCCUUCGGGUUGUAAAGCUCUUUUGUCAGGGAAGAAACGGGUUUGGCUAAUAUCCAGACCUAAUGACGGUACCUGAAGAAUAAGCACCGGCUAACUACGUGCCAGCAGCCGCGGUAAUACGUAGGGUGCAAGCGUUAAUCGGAAUUACUGGGCGUAAAGCGUGCGCAGGCGGUUUUGUAAGUUUGUCGUGAAAUCCCCGGGCUCAACCUGGGAAUGGCGAUGAAGACUGCAAGGCUAGAGUUUGGCAGAGGGGGGUAGAAUUCCACGUGUAGCAGUGAAAUGCGUAGAUAUGUGGAGGAACACCGAUGGCGAAGGCAGCCCCCUGGGUCAAGACUGACGCUCAUGCACGAAAGCGUGGGGAGCAAACAGGAUUAGAUACCCUGGUAGUCCACGCCCUAAACGAUGUCUACUAGUUGUCGGGUCUUUAUUGACUUGGUAACGCAGCUAACGCGUGAAGUAGACCGCCUGGGGAGUACGGUCGCAAGNUUAAAACUCAAAGGAAUUGACGG